AUGCGGAUGAAGCUCAAAGCGGCGUAUACUUUGAUUGAACAGUUAUAUUCUGGGUCUCAGCGGGCUAUUUGCACAGCGGCUUACAACAAACCGGCACCAACCCUGAUAAAAGAAACACUUGAGAAACUGGCCAUGUUACCAGCCCGGAUUGUCGAAUUGAAGAAGGCAGCUGCAAGAGCAGGAGCUUUAAUCGCACUUAUUCGAGCCAAAGCCUGGAUUCCAGACCUUGAAGCGGAGGAUGUCAUAAAAGGAUACCCAGGCGUGAAGGAGGACGGUGCAAACUUCGACAAUGAUGACCUCCGGCGGCUGACCAAAGAGAUGCGGCCAAUAGCCAGCAAGCUGGCCGAAGAUACAGACUUGUCCCAUUUUCAACCGGCUUAUGACGCUGAAGGGAAAAGACAACCUGCCAUAAUCCAUGAAGUUGAAGAACUUGUGGCUCCGAUUCGUAAGCACACUUAUGCUCCUGAUAUUAAUCCAUCCAAUCUUAUCCAUUAA
rnacentral:rRNA from 1 species